UCGCAGUCUCUGGUGAUGAGUGCAAGUUAGAGAGAGAAUAAGAGUGGCAAGAAAGCGAAAAGGGAGAGAAAAAAGAAAAAAAAUGAGAAAAAAAUAUUUGUAGAUUUAGGGUUAUAAUAUUUUAAAUUAUAAAGGGUAUUUUAAUCUUAUUAGAUUUUAAAGUUAUUCCUUCAAUCAUGAAAUAACAAAUACUAUAAAAAAACUUAAGUUUAGUUAAAUUUAAAUUUUAUCCCAUUUUAAGAAAUAAUUAAUACUAAAUAAUAGUUGUUCCUUACAACUUUACUUACCAAAUAAAGAUAAAGAAAAAAUUAUUAGAAUAGAUAAAAAAUAACUAAAUUAUUCCUUGUACCAAACAUGCUGUAAAAGUUUGGUAAGUGGUUUCAGCUUGAUCUCAGCCGAAAGGUCAAGAAAAGCAAGUGAAUUCUUUCUUUUAAACAAUUCAAGGUCUACAAGCCUUGGGCAUCAAGGCACCUAAUCACAUUUUAAAUACCCAUUAUUUCCUAUAAAAAAUAAAAAUAAACACACCUUUUCAUCUUUUAAAUACAACCCUUCUCAUUGCCUAGCCACCAUUGCUCUUUCUUUUAUGUCUUGUUAGACAUAUGAAAUGAAUUUUGAAUUCUUUCUUUUCGUUGGAAAAACAGAGGGCGAUGAUGAAGCUAUCAAGGUUCGCUCGUCGUACGUAAUGGCAGAAUAUUGCCUUGUCGACACUCUUCUUGAUGCUCUGAGCUCCUCUUCGCUCGUGUCUAAUUUUUUUUUUUUAAAGGUGUUCGUCUCUGCCAUAUGAAAGUUUUUGCUUUACCCCUUCGUUUUGACUUUGAUUUUGACAAAAAGGAGGACGAUGAUGAUGAAAAACAUCAAGGUUCGCUCGUCGUACAAAAUGGCUUACUUGCCUUGUUGACUCAUCUUGAUGAUCCGAGUCUUUUUGCUUGUCUGCAAUGCUUGCGCACUUCUGUUUGUGGUAUAGCGAUUUGGGUUUAUAAUUGAUGACUCAGCUCCUUACUACCAUUUAGGCACAGAACUUUGCAUAAUUCUUAGUUUUUGGGUGAAAGGGAGAUCAAAAUCCUAUGGAUAAACUAGCAAGAUAUCCUUAAAUUUUGAUUAAAAUUAAAGGAAGGUUUAUUAGUUUGACAAAAUACAUAUUAAGAGUCUAUGGGAAUGACACUGGAGAUCCAGGUCCUUGUAUGGUCACUACUCAUCCGGAAAGCCUUGGCUAAGUGCACAGAUUCUAUGAUAAAUAAGAUACUUUAGUCUCUUGUGUGCUCAACACAAGAAAACCUUGACUUGUGAGUUCAGCAUAGACUCUUUUCUUUUGCUGAUUCUUAGUACGAAUUUUAGUUCUGUGGGUGGUUCUGGUUUUUGUGUUUGACAAGAUCACCUCUGCCUGUUUGAUUGAAGUUUGCUAACCGCUUUUUGUUUGAUGGGGGAUGUAUAUGCUGUUUUUCUGGGGAAGGCUGGGGUUGGUCUUGUUGCUGCAGAAUUGAUUUUUUGUGAUUGUGCAGCUUUUCCUGAGGUUUUCUCCUCCUUUUAGACGUAGCUUUGUUUACUUUAUGAAUGAAUUCUGCUUUUCAAAAAAAAUUUGACAAAAUACAUUAAAUCCUCAAAAUCUUAACAUUGCUAAUAAAAAAAAAUUAACAGGACAAAUACCCGUUCCUCUUUCUCUCACCUUUUCUCUUUUUUCAAACAAUCAUCGGCCGGCGACGUUCUCUUAUGUCGACCCAUGAUCAAAUCUAGCACUCUUCGACGUCGAAGAGCGUCAGAUUUGACGCGAUUUGAAAUGCAAGAUCUGAAGCUCCGAAAUCUAACCCCCUCCGCACCAGAACUGGCCCUCUGCGAAAAGAGUGCGAGAGCUCCCUCAGAGGGGAGCUCUGGCGCUCCCUUGAGAGAGUGUGAAAGCUCCCUCAGCAGGGAGCAUGCUAGAUCCGGUCAGAUCUGAUCGAAGAACGUCAGAUUCGGCCGAAUCUUGCUAGAGAAGAAAGUGAGUUUUUUUUAAAGAACGAAA
rnacentral:lncRNA from 1 species